GCUGCCUUCCUAUGUGCUUCCAGAUGGCGCAGCUCUAUAGAGAACUGGAAGGGGCAGGUCGGUGUCACCAGAUACCAAGACACGGUCUUUGGCCUUUGGCCCCAGCUGGAUGCUCGGAGGCUUCGUCAGACCAAACCGGCUCAACUUUGUUUGCUGCAGGAAAAGCACAAAGGAGCAAAGUGAAGGAUUAUCUGCCUCAUCCCCUGCAAACCACUUCUCCAAUUCCCCCACUCCUCCGAGGACUCAGCCCGGCAAACCCCAAAGAACCUUAACCUCUGAAAGAGUUACAGGAUCCCAGAACAACAAAGAGCACAAUUAGUGUGGAGAAAAGUAAGGCCUCUAUUACAACUUAAGCCAAUAGAAGCUAAUCUCAGAUGAACAUAAAGGCUCUGCAGAAAUAUAAUUUGAGUAAAUGGAAUAAGGGAAAUUUGGUAUAAAAGUUAGACAUGUCUUUCGGCUAGAGUCACUCCGCCAGUUUUGAAAGACAAAUGUGAAAGGAAUGAUGUAGGAAGAGGACACUUUAUUCCUGGUCCAUAAAUCAACAGAUAUAAAUUUAACUACAAAAUUUAUGUAAGUUUUGCAAAAAGUCGAUACAUCUACAUGCUCCUUUUGGAGACUGAAUCAUGUUUCUUCAGAUAACCACUAAAACACAGAACAGAAAGUAGGGGGGCUGAGGA